GACGAACGCUGGCGGCGUGCUUAACACAUGCAAGUCGAACGAGAAUCUGUGGAAAGAGGAUUCGUCCAAUUGAAGCAGAGGACAGUGGCGGACGGGUGAGUAACGCGUGAGGAACCUGCCUUUCAGAGGGGGACAACAGUUGGAAACGACUGCUAAUACCGCAUAACAUAUAGAUGUCGCAUGGCAUUUAUAUCAAAGAUUUAUCGCUGAAAGAUGGCCUCGCGUCUGAUUAGCUAGUUGGUGAGGUAACGGCCCACCAAGGCGACGAUCAGUAGCCGGACUGAGAGGUUGAACGGCCACAUUGGGACUGAGAUACGGCCCAGACUCCUACGGGAGGCAGCAGUGGGAAUAUUGGGCAAGUGGGCGCAAGCCUGACCCAGCAACGCCGCGUGAAGGAAGAAGGCUUUCGGGUUGUAAACUUCUUUGUCAGGGACGAGUAGAAGACGGUACCUGACGAAUAAGCCACGGCUAACUACGUGCCAGCAGCCGACGG
rnacentral:rRNA from 1 species